rnacentral:rRNA from 1 species
UACAGAGACCCCAAGCGUUAUCCGGAGUUACUGGGCGUAAAGCGCAAGUAGUCGGUUUUUGUAGUCUGAUGUUAAAUCUCAUGGCUUAACCGUGAGGCCGCAUUAGAAACGCAAAAACUAGAGCAGGUCAGAGGCAAGCGGAACGUGCGGUGUAGCGGUGAAAUGCAUUGAUAUCGCACGGAACACCGAAAGCGAAAGCAGCUUGCUGGGGCCUUUGCUGACGAUCAGUUGCGAAAGCGUGGGGA